ACGGAUAACAUACCGAAAGGUAUGCUAAUACGGGAUAAUAUAUUUGAGAGGCAUCUCUUAAAUAUCAAAGGUGAGCCAGUACAGGAUGGACCCGCGUCUGAUUAGCUAGUUGGUAAGGUAACGGCUUACCAAGGCGACGAUCAGUAGCCGACCUGAGAGGGUGAUCGGCCACAUUGGAACUGAGACACGGUCCAAACUCCUACGGGAGGCAGCAGUGGGGAAUAUUGCACAAUGGGCGAAAGCCUGAUGCAGCAACGCCGCGUGAGUGAUGAAGGCCUUCGGGUCGUAAAACUCUGUCCUCAAGGAAGAUAAUGACGGUACUUGAGGAGGAAGCCCCGGCUAACUACGUGCCAGCAGCCGCGGUAAUACGUAGGGGGCUAGCGUUAUCCGGAUUUACUGGGCGUAAAGGGUGCGUAGGCGGUCUUUCAAGUCAGGAGUGAAAGGCUACGGCUCAACCGUAGUAAGCUCUUGAAACUGGGAGACUUGAGUGCAGGAGAGGAGAGUGGAAUUCCUAGUGUAGCGGUGAAAUGCGUAGAUAUUAGGAGGAACACCAGUUGCGAAGGCGGCUCUCUGGACUGUAACUGACGCUGAGGCACGAAAGCGUGGGGAACAAACAGGAUUAGAUACCCUGGUAGUCCACGCUGUAAACGAUGAGUACUAGGUGUCGGGGGUUACCCCCCUCGGUGCCGCAG
rnacentral:rRNA from 1 species